rnacentral:lncRNA from 1 species
AGUGGUGUAAAGUGAAGAGCAGUGCUCACCAACAUCAGGAAGGCCUGAGCUUUAGCUCAGUCACCUAUUUGUGCACCAUUACACAAGGGCUGUGUUCUGACGUACUACCACAAAACACUCAGCACUGGAAGCAUGGCACUCCCAGAGAAAGCACAGCCUGAUGCACUCACUGGGAACUUUGUGAGUCUGGAGUCUCCAUCACCAAUUCCCUGCAGUGUUCCUCCUGGGACUACUAUGAUGCUUCAACCUGCACCUGUUUGGAGUUCAUUGGGGUCUGGAGUCUGUCUUCUGUUUAGCUGCAGUUGUUUGGAUAAUACCCUCUUCAGAACAACAGCGAAGCAGAGCUACUUUUGUAAGAGUGGAUGGUAGAAGAGUCCUCACUCAAACAUUUG